GAUCCUGGCUCAGGAUGAACGCUAGCGACAGGCUUAACACAUGCAAGUCGAGGGGCAUCAUGAGGUAGCAAUACCUUGAUGGCGACCGGCGCACGGGUGAGUAACGCGUAUGCAACCUGCCCGAUACCGGGGUAUAGCCCAUGGAAACGUGGAUUAACACCCCAUAGUACUUUAUCCUGCCUGGGAGUGGGNGGUUAAAUAGUUCAAGGUAAUCGGAUGGGCGAUGCGUCCCUAUUAGUUAGUUUGGCGGGGG
rnacentral:rRNA from 1 species